rnacentral:rRNA from 1 species
GUACACACCGCCCGUCACACCAUGGGWGUUGGCUUUACCCGAAGGCGUUUCGCUAACCGCAAGGAGGCAGGCGACCACRGUAGGGUCAGCGACUGGGGYGAAGUCGUAACAAGGUAGCYGUAGGUGAACCUGCAGAAGGAUCA